UACGGGAGUGGCAAGCGUUAUCCGGAAUUAUUGGGCGUAAAGCGUCCGCAGGCGGCCUCGUAAGUCUGUCGUUAAAGCGUGGAGCUUAACUCCAUUUCAGCGAUGGAAACUGUGAGGCUUGAGUGUGGUAGGGGCAGAGGGAAUUCCCGGUGUAGCGGUGAAAUGCGUAGAUAUCGGGAAGAACACCAGUGGCGAAGGCGCUCUGCUGGGCCAUAACUGACGCUCAUGGACGAAAGCCAGGGGAGCGAAAGGGAUUAGAUACCCCUGUAGUCCUGGCCGUAAACGAUGAACACUAGGUGUCGGGGGAAUCGACCCCCUCGGUGUCGUAGCCAACGCGUUAAGUGUUCCGCCUGGGGAGUACGCACGCAAGUGUGAAACUCAAAGGAAUUGACGGGGGCCCGCACAAGCGGUGGAGUAUGUGGUUUAAUUCGAUGCAACGCGAAGAACCUUACCAGGGUUUGACAUCCUGCGAAUCCCUGAGAAAUCGGGGAGUGCCUUCGGGAGCGCAGUGACAGGUGGUGCAUGGCUGUCGUCAGCUCGUGUCGUGAGAUGUUGGGUUAAGUCCCGCAACGAGCGCAACCCACGUCUUUAGUUGCCAGCAUUCAGUUGGGCACUCUAGAGAGACCGCCGGUGAUAAACUGGAGGAAGGUGUGGAUGACGUCAAGUCAUCAUGCCCCUUACAUCCUGGGCUACACACGUACUACAAUGCUACGGACAAAGGGCAGCAAACUCGCGAGAGCUAGCAAAUCCCAUAAACCGUGGCUCAGUUCAGAUCGUAGGCUGCAACUCGCCUACGUGAAGGCGGAAUCGCUAGUAAUCGCAGGUCAGCAUACUGCGGUGAAUACGUUCCCGGGCCU
rnacentral:rRNA from 1 species